UCUCCGUUGGUGAACCAGCGGAGGGAUCAUUACCGAAGUUACUCUUCAUACCCUUUUGUGAACACUACCCCAUUGCCGCGCGUUGCCUCGGCGGGGAGGUCUGGGGGGUUGCGCUCCGGCGCUCCCCCCGGGCCCCCGCCGGCCGCGCCGAACUCUUCAUUUGCAAAGCGGACUGUACGAUCUGAUUAUAUCUUGAAAAACAAGUCAAAACUUUCAACAACGGAUCUCUUGGUUCUG
rnacentral:misc_RNA from 1 species